UGAUCUUGGUUUUUUUGAUGUUGAGCUUCAGACCAUAUUUUGUGCUCUCCUCUUUCACCCUCAUUAAAAGGUUCUUUAAUUCCUCCUCACUUUCUGCCAUCAAGGUUGUGUCAUCUGCAUACCUGAGGUUGUUGAUAUUUCUUCCGGCAAUCUUAAUUCCAGCUUGGGAUUCAUCCAGUCCAGCCUUUCGCAUGAUGAAUUCUGCAUAUAAGUUAAAUAAGCAGGGAGACAAUAUACAACCUUGUCGUACUCCUUGUCGUACUCACACACCAUGGUAAACAAUAUUUAAUAGAGGAAAUAAAUGCUCACAAUGGAUCAGUGUUAACAAGUAGGUUGGUGAUUUGAGCCUACCAAGGGAUGAUUGCAGGGGGUUGGGCUAGAUGACCCUUAGGAUCCCUUCCAACUCUAAAAUUCUACCGGUAUGGUUCUAUUAUCGUAUUAUUGCUGCCUUAGUGUUAUAUUCAAACCAGGGGUUGUGGUAAUGCUUACUUCCUGUUCAAGUCAGGAGGUGCUAAGCAGGUGUGAUUCACUUAUGAACUUAAGCAUGUUUUAUGGCAGGGAUCAGCAACCUUUUUCAGCCGUAGGCCAGUCCACCAUCCCUCAGACCAUAUGGUGGGCCAGACUAUAUUUUGAGGGGGGGAAUAAACAAAUUCCUAUGCCCCACGAAUAACCCAGAGAUGCAUUUUAAAUAAAAGGACACAUUCUACUCAGGUAAAAACACGUUGAUUCCCGGACUGUCCACAGGCCUGAUUGAGAAGCCGAUUGGGCCGCAUCUGGCCCACAGGCCUUAGGUUGCCUACCCCUGCUUUAUGGUUUACAGAGACAUGCAAAUGUGGCGAUUGUAAUUUGAAAUCAGGAAAAAAAAUAAAUCCUCCCAAACCAGAAGCACACUCUUGAAGUUCCCACUUUUGAUCCCAACAAACAAAAAAGCAAACUUUGCACACAUGAUGCAUUAUAAAUGGAUUGUCUGGCCGGAAACAGGAGGAGGAGCCCAGGCCAUCUCUUAACCGCUAAUAUUAUCUUAUUCUGCUCUUUCAUAAGCUUGCUAGAAACAUCAGCAGGAUGUUUUAUGUUUGCUUGUUUGUUUUUGCUUUCAAUGAACCACUUGCUGAUCUUUAUUGGUUCCAAAGUUCCAUUCAGAAACCCCAGCCUUGGCAACCUCUCAAACUUAGGACAAAUGGAUAGUUUAUACAUUUUAUAUUGACUGGGCACUCAGUGAUGAUGACAUGUACGCUCAUCCCUGCAGGCCGCUUGACAGUGAAGGAUUAUAAGCAUUGCCAAUACUCUGUGAACUAAAUUGUAUCCCUGCUUGCCUUCACCUAGGUCCUUUAGGGGAAAAAAGAGUAUUUCCAAAGAUGGUUGUACUUAGACUGUUAACAUACCAACCUAAGAGGAAUAUAGCCCUUCAUCCAAUCCCCCUAUACCAGUCACAAAUAUUUCACUGCAAGCUCAGUGAUGGUCUCAAGCCUUUGUAAAGUUCCACCCUGGCCUGACACACACACACAUUUCUCAUGUAAUGUUAAUUAAUUUGCGAAUAUCAAACAUGCAGUGAAAGAGGAGGCCUGACAGCCUUCCUUAACCAGAUACCUUCUAGAUAAUUUGAACAUAUAUGGAAGCUGUAGCCCAAAACAUCCAGAGGGCAUCAGUUUGAGCAAGGCUGCCCUAAAGUUUCAUUUACUGCCUGCCUAUUUCCUUUUGAGUAGCAGUUGGUAUCAAUACUCCUUUAUUUUAUGGCCCAGAAUAACAGCUCUGUAAUUAGCAGAGUGUAAUGCAAGUCAUAGUGCAAGUAGAGAAAGUCAAUGGGGUUUUAUUGAAGCAGUAACUCUGUAGCGGACAGGGAGUGUUUGCUCUCCCAGCCAAAAACACUUCUGCUUUUCUUAUUAUUUAUAGGCCUUGAAGUAAUUCAGGCAUUACUUGCUGCUCCUCCUCCACAUGUCAUAAGGACAUUUAUUGCAAUUAUUUGCAGUAGCUUGACUGUGUGAACCUCAGCUCUGAUAGGCCAUUUCUUCUUAUCACACCAACUGAUUACUUGCCAAGGAAGGCAAUCUACAAGGUGUGAGGCCUCCUGUAGGGUGAGCAGGUUUGUCAGGUUUCCCAUUUGGUUCAGGAGUGCCUAUGGAUGUGUUCAUAAAAGGUAAAGGGUAAAGGGACCCCUGACCAUUAGGUCCAGUCGUGACCGACUCGGGUUGCGGCGCUCAUCUCGCUUUACUGGCCGAGGGAGCUGGCGUACAGCUUCUGGGACAUGUGGCCAGCAUGACUAAGCCACUUCUGACGAACCAGAGCAGCGCACGAAAACCCCGUUUACCUUCCCGCCAGAGCAGUACCUAUUUAUCUACUUGCAUUUUGACGUGCUUUUGAACUGCUAGGUCUGGGCAGCAGCUGGGACCAAACAAAGGGAGCUCACCCCGUCACGGGGAUUCGAACCGCCAACCUUCUGAUCGGCAAGCCCUAGGCUCUGUGCUUUAACACACAGUGCCACCCGCGUCCCCAACGGGUGUGUUCAUAUUGCCCACUUAAUAGGCAAUUAAACUGGUGCUUUUUGGUGCUUUUCACAGCUCUUCCUCCAUGCCAUUCAGGUCAGCUUCAUUUUGUUUGGGUUCACACCAUGGGACAGGCAUGGAAGGGGGUACGGCCAUAGGAACCAACCUCUAGGGUCCAAGGGGUCUUCAGCUCCCCUAAUUAAAAUAUUAUUCAGUUAUUCAGGUUGUUCAGGUUAAACCUCAUAAUGUAUACCCAUUUUAUUUUCAGUGAAGUACAUAGCAUGUCAGACAUGCUUUCACUGACAGCAUUCUUAAAUUCAUGCAUUAGAUCAGGGGUCAGCAACCUUUUUCAGCCGUGGGCCGGUCUACCGUCCCUCAGACAAUGCGGUGGGCCAGACUAUUUUUUUUAGGGGGGAUGAACAAAUUCCUAUGCCCCACAAAUAACCCAGAGAUGCAUUUUAAAUAAAAGGACACAUUCUACUCAGGUAAAAACACGCUGAUUCCCAGACCAUCCACAGGCCGAAUUGAGAAGACGAUUAGGCUGCAUCCGGCCCCUGGGCCUUAGGUUGCCUACCCCUGCAUUAGAUAGUCUUUAGCCCUUCUUGGAACUUGUGCAAAGCUUAUGAUUUGUCUUUUUGAAGGGGGGGGGACAGCAGUCAUAAAACUAACAGCAACAAAGAAUCUUAAUGUCAAAGCAGGUCAGCUCUGAGGCCUAAUUAAAUUGACAGGGUCAUUUAUAAAAUGAAACCAAAGAGAGAGAGCAGGCAUUUAAUUUAAAUUACCUUUUCAGCAUGAAGUUAUUCAAAAGUUCCUCUUUAAGAAUAACAGGUUUGAUUGCAUUUAGUGGGUUAUAAAACACCCACAGUCCUGCAUGAGCCACGCUGCAUCGCCCAGGUGUUGGAGGAGGCCAAGAAAAAUGCUAGGCUAGGUUUGGAGUGAGUUUUGUUUAGAGUCUUGAGGCUGACAUGUUUUUCUACAAAAAGUCGCACACAGAGAUCUGUAUGUAACAGUUUUUCUACAGAUUUUUUUAAACAACAAACUAGUCAGCCAGACUGCAGGGAUCAGAAAUAGUUGUCAGCCACAUCCUGACUUAUUUGACAGUCUCUGUAAUAAAAUAACUAUUUGUCUAACUCUUCCUGAUUAGUCUGAAGCAUUCUGCCAAGACUAAGAGGAUUGACUAGUCAGGAAACCAUGACUGUUUUGGCUUUUUGAAGGCCUGUGAUAUUUGCGCGCAUAUAUAUAUAUAUAUAUAUAUAUAUAUAUAUAUAUAUAUAUUCAUUAAGUUUGGCAUUUCAAAAAUAAUUCACCGCUGUGAUGUGGACAUUUUCCACACCACCGACAAAGUCUAUUAGGGACAGAUUUAGCAAUUUUUCUCUCUUUUUUUUAAAAAAAGAUCACUCCAGGGGGAAAAAUUGCUUGCAGAUGUAUCCUGUAAAAAUAAUUGUUUUUCACUGGAUUUUAAUGUUUCUUCAACUUUGUAAACAUAAUGCCUAAGUGGUUUUAUUCAAUAAAUGUGACCCACACUGUAAUUGCUUGCAUAUUGUUGGCCCUUAAAUAAGGUGCAGAUUUUGAUCAAAUGACUGCAUAGCAUUGAAGUCGCUUAGGUUACAGCCUUUGGGGUAAGCAGGAGAUAGCAAGUAACCCAGCUAAGAAACCAUGGCUUCAGAAAUUAAGACAAAUGAGGUAUUUCACUUCAAUUAGUAGAUUUCCUCCUGUCCUCUCCCCUCUUAGUUCUGAAGUUUCAAGAGAUAUUUUGCUUAGGUAAAUUUAAGUGUCUUAUCAGUACUUUUAAUCAGAACUAAAUCGCACUGUAUUUGAUGGUACUUAUUUCCAGGUAAAUGGGCAUGGGGUUGCAGUCUUACACACACUAACUUAGAAGCUGGUCCCAUUGAGGUUUACUCCCAAGUAAACACGCGUAAUCUUGCAGCUAAAAUGUGCAGGAGACUUUCCUUUUCUUUUUGAAAUGCAACGGAAUGUAUGUUUCUUUUACUUAGGUUUAAAAAACAACAACCAUAUUUAAACACCUUGGUGUUAGAAAGUACUCAAAUGAGGCUAAAACAUAAACAAAACAAAAGCCCACCUAAAACUAUUAUGGUUUAGAGGGAAAUGGGGGCGGGGAGAAAGAUCUUGUAGCAUUAAGCUUAGGCAAAAUGUCAGAUGAGAAAAACAAAAGCUUGAAAGAACAGCAACCUAACACUAAUUAGAUAUUGCAUGUCAAGUAAGAAGAUGACUUGCAAAGCAAAAAAACAAACAAACCAACAACCCACAACUUAUAAAAUGGAAGUUCAAAAACAAGCAAACAGAAACCACAUGGACACUCUUUCCUGCACGAGAUGCAUUUGGUACAGCUCUCAGUAGAAGGAUUAAAUCCAAACACAUUACAGAUUUCUUUGGCGGGGCUCUCGUGAGUGCCGGAUAAAUUGCCCACCAUUUUCUUUAUCCUUUUUGUUCAUUGACUGUAAAACAUUGAGAGCCAUCAUCUUUAGUUGGGGCUGGAGGCACUCAGCAUCCCUGCCCGCUAAGACCUUCAAUCCCUGAAGGAUGAUCCUUUGUAUGGAGAAAAGGGUCACUGCCACCCCUUCUUUUCCCAUCAAGCCAAAAUCAUACAUGUGUUUUUGAAGCACUUAGACCUUUACUUGGGAAUCUGUCCCCCACCCCACCUGGUUUCAGUUAAUGCACAAACCAUGAUUCAGAAUGCAUGUUUCUCUCAUUUUAAAUCCAAUGUGACACCACAAAAGGAUGGGGCAAGUUCAUUGUUAUUUAUUUUCUGAUAGGACAUUACAGAAGUAUCAGGAUGGUAUACAACAUUGAAGGGAUGCGGGUGGCGCUGUGGGUUAAACCACAGAGCCUAGCUGAUCAGAAGGUCGGCGGUCCGAAUCCCCGCGACGGGGUGAGCUCCCGUUGCUCAGUCCCAGCUCCUGCCAACCUAGCAGUUCAAAAGCAUGUCAAAGUGCAAAUAGAUAAAUAGGUACCGCUACAGCGGGAAGGUAAACAGCGUUUCCGUGUGCUGCUCUGGUUCACUAGAAGCGGCUUUGUCAUGCUGGCCACAUGACCUGGAAGCUGUACGCUGGCUCCCUCGGCCAAUAAUGCGAGAUGAGCGCGCAACCCCAGAGUCGGUCACGACUGGACCUAAUGGUCAGGGGUCCCUUUACAGUUUACCUUUAUGCAACAUUGAAACAUAAAACACCAUUUAAAAACAAUGCAGGUAACCAUUAAGAAUAUCUAUAAUUUUUUUUUAUUAAAAAAAAUAGUUACAAAGGCCUGCUGGCAGGAAAAAUUCUCCCAGAGAUGCCUCAAAGUUAAAAGUGAUCAGUCCCUGUUCCAACAUUACAGCUCAAGUGAUCCCAACCAAGUAGUGCAGCUGCUUUUACACAUCGUUUAAAACAUCCACAGAAAUACAUGCCUGGUACCUUUAUUACACAUAAGGGGGCUGUCAAGCGCAUUGAACUGAUUGGAUUAUUGAGAUUCCUUGUCUGAUCAGUCGCCUUCCUUUUUCCAAGGCUGCUGCAGGGCUUAAUUUGAGCCAGGGCCAUUCCCCAGAACCUGUUUUCAGUGCCAGGAUCAGCCAUGGGACAUGCACUCACAGGCAUCUGCAUUCUCUUUAGCAGAAGAGAUAUUAUCUCUCUGACCCUACAAGUUUAUUCUCUCUCCCCACCCCCACCCCCGCUGCAAACUCCUCUUCUGGAAGCAUGUCCUAGGAUAUUACAAUAGAAACAUAUAUUGAAGCAUUGCAAUAGAUCCUAGUUUUCCUCCUGUCAGGCCUCACCAGGGAAACAUAACAAAUCUCCCAGCUAGAUUUAUGCAGACAGUUCUAAGGGCAGAAUUACACACACUCUGCUUUUGCUUGGGAGUCUUGGGGCUGCUGAUCCAAACAUUCAGCUACUGAGAGGCUUUUUAAUUGCAGAGCACUGGGGUAGAGUACAAGCUUUGCAUGGGGACAGUCCUAGGUUCAGUUCCUGGCACCCUCCAGUUAAACAAAAGCAGGGACAGCUAUGAUGGCCAUGUGCCCAAAGAGACAGCCCUUCUCUCUGAGGACGCCCUGCUUUUUGAAGGGCUGUCUGCUCCAUGUUUGGUUUAAAGUCUAGGAACCUUAAGAAAGGAGGGUAGUGGGGGCCUUGAAGUUACCCAUCAACAGUUUAUGUUGUUACCACCUGCCUUUCAGCCUAGGGUUGCAGGGCGGAUCCCAACAAUUAAAACACAACAUUGAACCCCCAGCGGAAAUUGCCUCUUAGUAGACAUGGGUAGGCAUGGACUGCACUGUUUUAUUUAUUUUUAUUAAUUUUAUUGCAGUCCAAAGACCCACAAAUAGAUUCCAGUACAUAAAAAUACAAAAAAGCAUAUAUAUACACUACUUGGACAUCAGAUAAAACUAAGCUUAUUUCAGACCUUUAAAAAAGUGCUCUCUGAUCCUGACCUCCUCAAUAAGAAACUUUGCAACUACCAAAGAUACGCUGGGAAUGCCAUCCCCUCUAAGGUACCUAACACAAAAUUGUGCAGGUCUUCGUGGAAGGUUUGCAAUUAAAGGAAUAUUUGUUGGUUUGUACAGGGGCAUAAUCUAGCAGAGUAAGGAAUACCCGCAUAUCUGCCUCAGAGCAUUUUGGAAGGAAACACAUUCAGUCUGGCCUUGGUAAAAAGUCUGUGGUAGUUGACCACUGUCAAGUUCUUUAGAUAUUUAGCUAUAUGAAAUGUUCUGACAUACUGUAAACUCACAGCUCUUGGUGAAAAGGAUGAACAGGCCCACAGAUCACCCUAGGCCAGUGAUGGCGAACCUAUGACAUGCGUGUCAGACGUGACACGCAGAGCCCUCACUGCUGGCACGUGCCCCAUCGGCCCAUUCACACUGUUGUUGUUCUCCCCACCCCCAUUUGUUCUCCCGCUCCUCCUACAGCUUGUCUCCACUACAGCUUGUCUCCGCUGUUAAAACACAGAUCCUUUUUUGUUGUUGUUGCUGGUAGCCAGAGAUUGGUUUUUAACCCUUUCUGUGCUGUUUUUUCUGGCGCUUUGGCAGACGAUGAUUGGGUGUAACAGCGUUUGUUUUUUAACCCGUUCUGUGCUGGGGUUUUUUUUGGCGCUUUGGCAGACUAUGUCGGUGCUGCAUGUUAGUUCCAGCGAAGGUAUUAUUCGUCAUUUAUUUCUGUUCUCUUUCCCCCCCAAAAAGUGCAGCAGCUUUGGGGCAUCCCCCCCAAAAGCAAAGCAACUUUUGCAUACACACCCCAACAAAACCUCCAAAACUUUGGUUAGCUGCUCUCCCCUAAAAGCUCAACAACUCUGGGCACUUUGUGAUAAAUAAGGGGUUUUUGGUUUGGUUUGGUUAAAUAAUUAGUUUUUGGUUUAUUAAAUACAGUUAUAUAUUACAAUUAUACAUUUUUGUUAUUUAAACUAUAAAUAUCGCGGAAUUAUGUUUUUUUUUCUCAAAGUGACACACCACCCGAGUUAUGCUUGGUUGUUUGGUGAAUUUUGACACACCAAGCUCAAAAGGUUGCCCAUCACUGCCCUAGGCAAUGUCCCACAGUCUUUGUUUUAGUUGUUAGUGCCCUACUGGUGGUUUUUCCCUCUAUCACCUGCAGUGCUGCUGUUUGGGUAGUGCUUUGGGGAUAGAACUCUAGGACCCCACUCAACUGAAUGAGCUGGAGGGCCUCCCAACACAGCAGCCCUGACUUAUCACAUUUGGAAGUAAUGAAGCAAUACACAUUAACAUCUAAAAAUGGUAAGACCAUUAAGUCCGGUGUCUAAAAUUGCCUAACAGUGCCGCUGAUCACCUGGGAGACCCACAGAGGUAGUAUAUUAAUUCACUACCCAAGUCUGCAGUGAAUUAAUUCAUUCCAUCAGCUGUGUGGUGCCCUGACCGCCAUGGGAAGAGAUUUUCAGUGACAAGUGCCCGGAUAUUUGAAUUUGGCCUCUCUGUAAAUACAGUUUGAGAAUCUCAGUUUUAUCAUGUCACUGCCUUAGGGCAUGAGGUGGAUUAAGUGGGAAGGCAUCCCUUAUUCCAAAUCUAUGACCAGUGUUUCAAAAGCACUGCUCUAAAAGGAAAAGGAAAAGCCCAACAUUUACAUAAGUAGAGCUUUUGAACCUCAGAGAGAACUCUUGUCACAGCUGAGUUUCUGCCUUUGAUCCUGAAACUGCCAAUCCACAGCAGGAAUCCCUGUUGAGCUACCUAUCUCAGGUGCUUAGAUGCUCUUUAUUACCAUAAUACACGAGGACAUCAGUAUCUUGGCUACAUUUAUCCUCACAGCAUCCUUCUAAAUGAGGAAGGAAAAAGCAUGGUGACUUGCCUAAAGGCAAUCUCAGUGUCAAAAUUCAAAAGGCAUCUGUCUUGGUGUUAAUGUCCUCCAGCCAAUACUAUCCAAGCAUACAGAUAAUCCAGCAAAGCCUGACAUGAUUGGAUAAAGCCAGUGAGAUCACAGUCAGUGCUGUUAAUCAAGGCCUAAGAGGAAUUGUUGUUGUUGUUUAGUUGUUUAGUCAUGUCCGACUCUUCGUGACCCCAUGGACCAGAGCACACCAGGCACUCCUGUCUUCCACUGCCUCCCGCAGUUUGGUCAAACUCAUGUUAGUAGCCUCAAGAACAUUGUCCAACCAUCUUGUCCUCUGUCAUCCCCUUCUCCUUGUGCCCUCAAUCUUUCCCAACAUUAGGGGCUUUUCCAGGGAGUCUUCUCUUCUCAUGAGGUAGCCAAAGUAUUGGAGCCUCAGCUUCAGGAUCUCUAAGAGGAAAACCUCUGGACAAAUCUAAUAGUGCAUAUAAAUUUAUACAAAAUUAUUUUGACUUGGUCACUCUUUUCCUUCAUCUAGAUCUAAAAAUUGGGAGGAUUAUAUUUUGGCCUAGAAUAAACACUCUGCAUAAUUUUAGAGAUUCUCUUUUUUUAUUACUUGGCACAUUCCAGGACUGAGCAUGGUUAUUCAGGUAAGGUUCUGGAACUGACUGUAGGCUAAAGUUUCUUUUACAUAGGAGAGCCAAUGUGGUGCAGUUGUUAGAGCAGCCUUUCCCAACCUUGUGUCCCCACUGCCAUUAAAACGAUGACAUAGCAGCUGGUCUUUCUGCCUGAAACUCUAGAGCAGGCAUCCCCAAACUUCGGCCCUCCAGAUGUUUUGGACUACAAUUCCCAUCAUCCCUGACCACUGGUCCUCUUAGCUAGGGAUCAUGGGAGUUGUAGGCCAAAACAUCUGGAGGGACGCAGUUUGGGGGUGCCUGCUCUAGAGAGCUGCUGCCAGGGUUUGAUGCACAGGUCAUCUGACUUGGUACAAGGCUGUUUUCUGUUUCCCUAUGGUGUUAAACAGAAUACUUGGUGAAAGGGUUUAAGGGGAAAAACAUUUGAGCUGCUGGCUGUGGCAUCCAGCGUAAUGAAACUGCAUAGUGUGCAAAUUUGUAUGCCCAGCCCUGUUUAAAAUAGCCCACCAAACAGUUGCUAAAUGCUUCAUGAAGAAGACAGGAGAGGAAAAUAAUCAUUUUGGAUGGUAGCUGCAAUCUCUGUACAAACUCUGUAAAAAGUGCAGGGCUAGAGUUUACAGCAAGGAGUUCCUGUAGGAGAGAUGCUUCGGUUGACAGGCUCUCCCUCCAGUUGGAGCAGAGACAGUUGCACAGAAUAAGGUCAUGCUGGAGUAAUUGGAUUAUCUAAUAAAUAGCUGGACGGGGGCCUGAGACAAGGAGUGAAGGCUUGCAAAGCACAGCGGCUGUUUUUUAAUUGCUGCUUUAGCCUACUGCUGGAAAGCAGAGUGAUGCUGAGAGAAGAUAUUUGCAACAGCAGGUUCAGUGGUAGUGCUGUUGUUCACACAGCACUGAAAUUUGGGCGAUACAAGUACCAUUAUAGAAAUACUUUAUUGUCACUGUACCACUUGUUUACAGUGAGAUUCAACGAGCCCCCCAUCCCCCCCCACAAUCUAUCAGUCCGUAUUGCAGUGGGGAUACAGCUAUACCCUUGCGUACUGGGAGAAGUUUGGCUGUCCGUUGGUUUACAGCAUUUGUAUGCCACCCCCCAGACAUAAAGUUAUUUGCUUUACUUACAAUAAAUAAGUUAAAUACAAUUAAGGCAUUAAAUAAAAAGCUACAUAAAUGGAAAAACAAAAACAUUCACAGUACAGUCGUACCUCGGGUUGCGAACACCUCGGGUUACGAACAACCCGGGUUACGAACUGCGCAAACCCGGAAGUAUUUUCGCCGCAUGCGCAGAAGCCCCACACGCAUUUGCGCAUGCGCAAAGCGUGAAAAUAGCGCUUUGCGCAUGCGCAAAACGGCGUUUUCGGGUUACGAACUGUACUCCCAAAGUUAAAAACAUAACAACAGCCCUGCUGAAUCAGGCCAGUGGCCCAUCAAAUCCAGCAUUCUGUUCUCACAGGGGCCAACCAGGUGCUUUUGGGAAGCCCAGAAGCAAAACCCAAGGAUGAGAGCACUCUUCCCUCCUACUGUUUCCAGCCACUGGUAUUCAGAAGCAUUAUGGUCAUAAUGGCUAGUUGCUCCUGAUAGCCUUCUCCUCCAUGAUUUUGUCCAUUCCUCUUUUAAAGACAUCCGAGUUGGUGGCCAUCACUGCCUCUUGUGGGAGCAAAUUCCAUUGUUUAGCCGUGAAAUGGGAACUGGGAAGAAGUAUUUUCUUUUGACUAUCCUGAAUCUUCCAACAUCCAGGCUCAUUGGAUGUCCCCAAGUCCCAGAUUUAGGAUAGAGAGAGAAGAACCUAUCUCUAUCUGCUUUCUCCAUGCCUUGCAUAGUUUUAUAUAUUUCUGUCCCACCUCCUUUUACUUGCCUUUUCCCUAAAUGAAAAAGUCCCAGACACUGCAACCUUUCCUCAUGUUCGAUCCCCUCGAUCAUUUGGAUUGCCCUUUUCUGAAUCUUUUCCCAACUCCACAAUAUACUUUUUGAUGUAUAAAAAGUAAAGGACCCCUGACAGUUAAGUCCAGUCGCGAACAACUCUGGGUUGCGGUGCUCUCGCUUUACAGGAGCCGGCGUUUGUCUGCAGACAGUUUUUCUGGGUCAUGUGGCCAGCAUGGCUAAGCCGCUUCUGGCAAAACCAGAGCAGCACACGGAAACGACGUUUACCUUCCCGCCGGAGCGGUACCUAUUUAUCUACUGGCACUUUGAUGUGCAUUCGAACUGCUAGGUUGGCAGGAGCUGGGACCAAGCAACGGGAGCUCACCCCGCUGUGGGGAUUCGAACCGCCGACCUUAUGAUCGGCAAGCCCUAGGCUCUGUGGUUUAACCCACAGCACCACCCGCCUCCCUGACAGGUAGGGCUUCUCAAAUAAUAUAUACAGUUCCAGCCAAUAUAGAUAUAGCUAGCCAAAGGGUCAGUUUAGAUUUUAAAAGGGUGGGCUUAGCCUUUCAGAAACACCCUCAGUUUUCCUAGGUUAAAAAGGUUAGGCUUUUAAUGUAGGUUUUUAAAAAAAGUCUCAGCUGAAAGUUCCAGCUUUCAGUUCGACUUAAACUCAGUAAAAAACAAGUAUAGCUAUAAACUGGUUGGGCAGAUGACUGACCAGGGGCAAGACCUUGGGGUCAUAAUGGAUAGCUUGAUGAAAGUGUUGACCCCAGUGUGCAGCAGCUGUGAAAAAGGCAAAUGCCAUGCUAGGGAUCAUUAGGAAAGGGACUGAAAAUAAAAGCAUCAAUAUCAUAAUGCCAUUAUACAAAUCUGUAGCGCAGUUGCAUAUGAAAUACUGUACACAAUUCUGGUCACCUCACAUCAAAAAUGCCCGGCUAGCUCAGUUGGUAGAGCAUGAGACUCUUAAUCUCAGGGUUGUGGGUUCGGGCCCCACGUUGGGCGCAGAAUUUUUAGGGACACGGGUGGUGCUGUGGUAUAAACCACUGAGCCACGUGGGCUUGCCAAUCGGAAGGUCGGCGGUUCAAAUCCCCGUGACGGGGUGACCUCCCAUUGCUCGGUCCCAGCUCCUUGGAAUAAGAGUGAGUUAAAUGCAGAAUCAGUAAAUAGAUAGCCAAGAGAGUCAAAUGAUAGGGCAGCAAACAAGUGAUAAAACAAUUUUGCAAUAGGCACCCAAAAACAACAACAAUGUUGUUGCCUGCCUGAUAUUCAAGGAGGAAGGAAUUCCAAAGUUUAGUUGCCACAACCCUAAAGGCCACUCUAUUGUUGAACAGACCUCCUGAUAAAAUGGUUUCUGCAGGAGGCCCUCACCUGCAGAGCGUAGCUGCACCUGCAUAUUAGUGGCACUUGAUCCACAUCUGUUUUUAAUCCCAUAAAAUAAUAUUGUAAACAGUGGUUGGGUUGAUCUCUCUGGAGAAUGGAUUUCAUAGUUCCAUAGGGAGAGGUGGUGACCUGAAAAUGACCCAUGUUCAUCCACAAGAGAGCAUUUAUGGAAAACUCCUCCAAAUGUAUUGUUAGGCAGCCUUCCCCAACAUUAUGCCCUUUGGAUGUUGUUGGACUACAGCCCUCACCAGCUCCAGUCAGCAUAGGUAAUAUUCAGGGAUAGUGGGAGCUGUAGUCCCAACUUUCUGGAGAAAGCUGAGGCAGAGCAACCUGCACAAGGGCAAAAUCAAUCUGCACAUCUUUAUAUCACUUCACCUAUGAACCAGUAUUUGGCAAUUAAUAUAAUCUUUUUUAUUAUUUCUUAGCCUCCUUGCAGAAAGCAACACUUUUGGCAUGUUAGCAUCGGGAACAGUCUACCUAUUAAAAUACCACGGCCUUUUAUGCACUGGCUGCCCUCAAAGAGAAAAUGCACAAUAGGAAAAAAGAGGAUGCACAUUUAGAAAGAGUUACUAUAAUUUAGGCGGGGUGCGGGUGGUGCUGUGGUCUAAACCACUGAGCCUAGGGCUUGCUGAUCAGAAGGUCGGCAGUUCGAAUCCCCAUGAUGGGGUGAGCUCCCAUUGCUCGGCCCCUGCUCCUGCCAACCUAGCAGUUCAAAAGCAUGUCAAAGUGCAAGUCAAUAAAUAGGUACCACUCUGGCAGGAAGGUAAACGGCGUUUCCGUGCACUGCUCUGGUUUCGCCAGAAGUAGCUUACCGGUAGUCAUGCUGGCCACAUGACCUGGAAAAACUGUCUGCAGACAAACGUCGGCUCUCUCGGCCAGUAAAGCAAGAUGAGCGCCACAACCCCAGAGUCGUUCGCAACUGGACUUAACAGUCAGGGGUCCUUUACCUUUUUUCUUCUUCUUCUAUAAUUUAAGAAGAAACGCAAUGCAUUUCAGCAUAGUGGAGAAGGCUGCAGCCAGAGGCAACUUCUGUUCAUGCUCAGAAUGCUGUCCAGGUGAAAUGUAGGUGGGCAGCUUCAAAGCACCUGCUCCCUUCUUUGGGUUCCUUAGGUUUCAGCCGGACUUGGACUCAUGACUUUUCAAAUAAAUAACUUAUUCAAAUAAAGGAGUCUCUAUAUAUUGGGGCACACGGCCACCCUGUUUUAAAAAGCUUAGUUUGUUAGUCAACCCUAUUGAAAUUGUUCUUGCCUCAUGAAUUUGGUCGUAAAUUUGGGGUAGGAUUUUUUUUCCUGCUGUAUAAAAAUGGUUGUGGGUAGGGAACCCCUUUAAAGGAUAAAAUAACAAUAAUCAUUUUCAAAGAAGUGCUUUGGGGAAAUAGAAGAAAAGCUGUCGUCUCCCUCCCCCCCUGUCAACACACACACACACACACACACACGUACGUUCUCUGACAAGUGUGGUGUAAAUUAUUCAUAUGACGCUUAUAAACCAUUUGAGGUUUGAGAAUAAAACAAAACAUUGAGGUGUUAGUAAUAUGAAGUCUCAGUUCAUGGAUGUUAUUAAAUAUGUGGCAAGGGGGGGGCUCAUUUGCUUUUACUGGGGUGGUGCGGGAGAGUAGUUGGUUACAAGCCCCAAAUAGUUCAACUGGUAGAACUGUGAAUGUGUUCCGUUCUGUUUUUAAAUGGCAUUCACUAGGUUUGAGAUCUUACUAUUAACCAAAGCGUUUUAACAAAAGGGCCCAGGCACCUGUUGGGGAGAAAUAGCAAUAGCCUUCGUAAAACAAGACUGAUUUCUUUGUACCCUUACAAAGGCUUUGCUUAGAUUUCUACAUAGAUGAAAACAAAUGUUCCAUCGUAAAUAACACCACCACCACCCCUUUAAAUUUGGCUGUUCUCCUUCAGGCCUGAAAUGCACUGGAGACCCCAUUCAAGUUUCUGGGACAAAGGGUCGGGGUCAGAAGGUCAGGUCACUCUGCUGUAUUUGAAAUUUGGCACCUAAAUGCACAUGGCAUCCUCAAGACACAGAGGCUUAAUUUGCCAAAUCAGAUGGAUGCUUAUUCCGCUCCAUCAUGCCCAGCCCUGCUGUUAGCUAUUACAGUUAUUGGGUUGGUACCAAUCAAAUAUGCACAAAGGAAGGAGAUCAGAAACAGAGUCUCUCUCUCUCUCUCUCUCUCUCUCUCUCUCUCUCUCUCUCUCUCUCUGUGUGUGUGUGUGUGUGUGUGUGUGUAGUUGCAUGCUUCCCACUUCUUUUGAGUGGUGGCAGGUUCCAGGAGCAGUGCUGCUGGAUUUGGUUUCUUUUACACAAGAGAGCCACGGGGCCUUAUAGUAUCUUUGUAAUAUUUGUUUUAUUUACAAAAAGCACCACCCAGAGCAUACAUGGAAGCAAGCAGGCACUCCUGCUGCAAGCAACCGUAUCGCUCCAAUAGCAUUUUGGGCUGCACAUUCAAUUUUAGCUAACUCCAACCAAAAGGUCUUAGCUCUCUUGUUUUGUCUGCUUCUGUUACUCUUCCUUUCAACUUCGAAGUGCUGAUUCUCACCCACAAUUUGCCAAAUACUCCUAAUAAUAUAAAAGGAGCCCGCUGGAUCAGGCCAAUGGUCCAUCUAGUCCAGCUUCCUGUUCUCACAGUGCCCAACCAGAAAAUCCACCAGCAGGAGCUGAGAUGCCAAAUUUAAAUGAAGUCAUCUGUGUCUCUUGUUCAAUAUGUGUAGUCUGUUUGUUUGUUUUGAUACAGCAAUCGUCCAUACUAUCUGUUUCCAGUGAGAUAUAUGCAGGUGUUCCAGUCCUUUCCAGUUCUGCGCCACCAGAAGAAAAAUAGUCAAUUCUUUGUAAUGGAGGUCAGGUUGUACUUCUCCACAUGUUGACCUGUAAUGAAAUUUAUUUCCAUAACUGCACUUUGCCACACUUUGAGUUUUGCUACUCUUCUUCAGACAGAAUUGGUUCAAAUCAGUUAAGAGGAGGAUGAAACAAAGCAGACUUCCAGACUGACUCGGAAGUAUAAAAAAAGAAUUUAGCUCUUCUUUGAAUGGAUUAAUCCUAGUUGUUCCUGGUUAGGAGGCACAAGCCUUUCCAUGCAUCAGUCCGAAUAAAACAUUUCUAGUGCACCUUUGGGAUAUUUUCUCUCACACAUUUUCUCUCUUACCCAACCUUCUUUUAUUGGAGGAGUAGCAAUGGACAUGGAGAGCAGAGCCCAGAGGUACAAUCCUGACUCUCCCUCUUCUGCAGGUUAAUUCUAUACAGGUAUGUUUUCUGGACAGAUCUGCAGAAUAGUUGGGAUUAGGCUGACUGAAGGGGCCGGGGCAGCAUGGCUACAGACAUAUUAAGCCCCUCCUCUGUUGCAUAGUUAAUGAGUCUGCUGAAAGGUUGGACUGUCUUGCAGACUCAGGACCAGGAGGCACAUAAUGACAAGAGGAAGGCUUCUCGGGAUUCAUGUUCUUCCCUCUUGCGUCCUCACAGCAGCGUCGUUUGUUAUGUGUGGAUUAAUGUGUGGUUUAGACACUUUAAAGUCAGUCCUUGUGCAAUAAUUUUUUAGUUCAGAGCAAAAGAUUUACGAUGAGGUUGUAAGCCAUUUAGAAAACCAAGGAGGGGCUAAGGGUCCCUUGCAGUCCUAUAAUGUAACAGCACUUACUUUGGCCAGUACUGUACCUGGAUAAUCCAUAAAGGUAACACAGCAGUUACAAAGCCCAGUGGUGCUAAGUAAUAAAAAUAAACUUAGCUGAAACCCAGGAGCAACUCUGGGACCCUAUUACGUGAAGCUUAGGGACCCUAAUAGCCAGGUGUGUGUAUUUGUACAGUACAGUACAUUGUUUUGCUUGUGUAUAGUUUGGGGUGCUGCAGAAACAGGCAGCUAUUGUUUAAGGGUUGGGGUGUUUUGUCGUUGUUCUUUUGUUACUUCGCUCAAACAUUUCUUCUUCGUGGGGUUGUACCAGAUUUGCCACAUGGGGCAAACGUACUGAACGGGAAACGUGCUUUUUGGCCUGGCUCCAGUUAUGAAACUCUUUCCUUUCUUAAAACGCCCCCAAGUUGCAAAACUAGGGCCUUUGGAGUCUAUAAAAGAAAGGGCUAUUUUGCAGUAUGCAUGCACCACCACCGCCUAGAAAGCACGGGGCUGUAAUAAUUCUUAGAGAAAAAGAGAGAUAAGUGCAAUGGAAAUUGGAUCACGGUCAAAUUCGCAGUAAUCUCUGCACUCCCUUUGUUGGCUGAGCAGCCGCCAAAGGGGGUAGGAUGAGAGCUCACAAGUCGCGCAAACCCUAUUGUGGGAAGGAACGCCUUCCGGCAACGUAAUUGUGAUUGGAUGGAAACCAUUUAAGAACAGACAGUUUUCUUUCCUCCCUUGUAGUAGUCUUACUCCCUAACCACAUUAAGAAAGCGAAAUGUUGUGGUUGGUAGAGAGCACGAUAGAAAGGGGGUGGGUAGAAAGAACGUGCACUCUCGGGGGGGGGGGGGAGGUUGUAUAUGGAUAUUCCAAAAUAGCUGAAGGAAACACAGCUUGAAACUUAAGAAUUCUGCCCCCACCCACAUUAGCUGCUUGGCCACGGAAUCUAUUUCCACAUCGCGGUAUCAUAGUGGGUCCCAGCACAGGAGGAAGAAGGCAGAGACAAUCCUGGCUGAUGGGUAGCUUUACUGCCCAGUUGGCCAUCCUGCUGGGCCAAAAAGAAAAAGAAAAAACAUUGAGGAGCCAAACUUGAUUGUUACCAGCUUUUGCAAUGGGCCUAUUAGCCGGUUUGUCCCGAGGUUAUGGAAUAUUGUAAAAAUGUUUAUAGGAAAAGAGUGCAAAAGUCAAGAAGAUUUUAUAUACAUGCAGGAAUUUUGUAACAGCAAGGGGAGGGGAAACCCUCACACAUUUGUAAACUUGUUUUAACAGGCAGAUUUGUGUGGUAUAUAUCUGUUGUGCAUAUUCUUAAUUUGCUUUUUCAGUAGACAGUGCAGAAAAUUAUACCCAGUCUUGGCCUCAUUGAGGGGCAGUAUUUCAAUAUAAGUAGGAAAAUGAGAGUACCCCUAAACAUUUUUUUUUAGAAAAAAGCACUGAUUACAACCAAAGGCCACAACCUAGAACAUGGGUAGGCAAAUUAAGGCCCGGGGGCUGGAUCCAGCCCUUCUAAAUCCGACCCGCGGAUGGUCCGGGAAUCAGCGCGUUUUUACAUGAGUAGAAUGUGUGCCUUUAUUUAAAAUGCAUCUCUGGGUUAUUUGUGGGGCAUAGGAAUUCGUUCCCCCCCCCCAAUAGAUAGAUAGAUAGCAUAGUCCACAAGGUCUGAGGGACAGUGGACCAGCCCCCUGCUGAAAACGUUUGCUGACCCUUGACCUAGAAUGACUGUAUUGUAUCCAAAGUUAGCCAUAUUCAGAGCAGACCUACUGAAAUUGAUGAACAUGACUAACUUAGGUUGACUAAAUUCAGUAGGUUUACUCUGAGGAAAACUUAGUGUGCUUCUGGACUGUCACUGUUUUCAGGUGGGAUUCAGCCACAUACUCAGUGGCAUAUUAAGAUGGGGGUGUUGGGGGCGUGCUGCCCCGGGCAGCAGGCUGGGCGGGGGGCAGCAAGCUGGACGGGGCUAACCACCUCGGACGGCUGCCGCCACACAGCCGCCACCAUCGAGGACUUAAGCCAAGAUGCAAGCGAGACUGCCUCACUCCGCGGCUUGCUUGCAGGGUUUGCUGCAGUGCCGCAUUGUAGGCCUCCUGCGCGCGCACGCAUUGUGCGUCAUGACGCGUGCUGGACGCCCCGCCCCCCGGUGGGGUGCCUUUGAGUUUGCCACCCCGGGCAACCAGAAGGCUAGCGAUGCCACUGCACAUACUGUACUGGUGAAUUCGGGGCACAUAUUUAAAGUAGGUUUGGUUAGGUUUGGUGCUCUUGCACAACAAACCCAAAGACCCAACUUCUUGCAAUACCAAAAGUAAUGGGGAAAUGCACUGCAAAGUGUGGAAUAACACUCACUGACACCACAUCAUCUAACUACCUUGCAAGCAAAUCAGAAUGAUUGCUUGCUAAAUAACUAAUGUUGCCUAAUCUCCUUGCAAACAGAUAAGGAUGAACACUCAAUAAAUAGGUCCUCUGGAAGUGCCCUUAGUUGACUACAAUCCAAUGGGAAUCAUGCCUGUAAGGGCAUUGUCUUCAGAUUUUGCAACAGUUAUUCGGGCUAAAUAUUCUGUGGCCCCAUAUAGCAAUUUAAUUGGCUAUAUAGAGGGUUUUUAAAGGUAUGGCUGGGAUUGGUUGUUUUAGAUUCUUUCUUUGUUACAUUUUAUAUUCUUUAUUACCAUAUGAUGGCUUUGUGUUCAGCUCGUUAUUGUGGGGGGGUUGCAUUUCAGGAUUGAAGGGAAGCCAUCUUGGGAGAGUAGGGAGAGGAGAGCUCUGUUGAGCUCAAGCCCAUCUCGCAGGCUUCCCACAGGCAUCAGGUUGGACACUUUGAGAACAGGAUGCAGGACAAAUUGGGUCUUUGGCCUGAUCCAGCAGGCCUCUUAUAUUAUUAUUAAUCACACUAUUUCAUAGAUGAGGAACUAUAGUACACAGUGAGCACUCUAUCCCUGUGUUGUCUUCUUUGUUGACUCAAACUAACACGUGUCUUGAGUGUUACCACCAUGAUUGGCCAGUCUUUAGUAAAUUUGGAAUUUUUAAAAAAGUCUCUCACAUUAGGAAAUGACCUGACUACAACAGGGUUUAUUUUUUCAGUGACUCCUACAAUAACCAGCCUAGUCAUGUUCAGUGCUAAAGGUGGGUGGGUGUAUUUAUCUGAUUCUUGGCUAAAGUCCUUCAGACAUUGUUAUCUAAAAGAAUGGCAAUGUCAAAUUGGCAAAACACAGUGUUCCAUUUUAGCCAGCAUUGAUGCAUGGUAAUGACAGAGACCUAAUGGAUUUUAAUAUCAUAGUGUUCUGUGUUUACUUCUGUAUUUUAUUUUUCAGUUUCCCUUGUGGUACCUGUAUGCUGUAAAAGAACUGUGUAAAUACCAUGGGGAGAAAGACAUGGGUCUCUUUUUGUAGCCUUGUUAGAAAUAUAGGGUGUUGGACAUGUCAUGCAGUAUGAACCUUUCUAUGCAUGUUUACCCAGAAGUAAGUCCCAUUAUUGCAGGGUGACAUACUCCCAGGAAAGUGUGUAUAUGAUGUACACACAAACAUAUUCAUAAUGAGAAAUUACUAUAAUAUUGAAAUAUGGAACUCAUUGGGACUCAUGAGACUUAAUUUGGCCAUUUUAUUUGGAUGCCCCCUAAUUUGGCAGUCCCACCUUCAUUUUCCCCCCUUCUACACAUGGCAGCUUACUUUUUGGAAAGCAAAGACAAAAAUGUGGGCAUCUCAGAAUUCCCCAAAGCACAUGCACAACCACACAUAUUGUGUCUUGGUGCCUACGAGUUGAUUGACCCUGUGUCAGAGAUAUUACAAUGAAGGUAGAUUAUUACUAUUUCAAUCAAAAACAAGUCAUAUUGACAGAGAAGAAGAAAAAUAUGGGCUGUAUUUUGGCAGCCAGGGUCAUAUAUAUACAAAAGCCAGUUGUGGCUUUUGUAUAUAAAGAUUAACAAACUCCAUUUUGAUCGUUCCUUCCUGGUUUGGGAGCAAUUGGCUUUGAGAAAGAUGAGGUCAGGUUGCUCAUUUCAUGGAUCCAUUUAUUCAUGUUAUUUGCAGAUGCACUAUCUGGCUGACAUACAGGCAGGAGUUUGAUCAGCUUGCUUUUGGGCCCCUAUGGGUCUUCUGCUGCUUCCAGUCACAUACCUUUUGGAAACCACAGCGGUACCUAUUUAUCUAGUUGCACUGGUAUGCCUUUGAACUGUUAGGUUGGCAGAAGCUGGGACAGAGCAAUGGGACCUCACCCCAACGCACAGAUUCAAACUGCCAACCUUCUGAUCGGCAAGACCAAGAGGCUCAUUUUGCAGUAUCUGGGGUAUCUCCCAAAGGUUACCUUUUUUGUAGAACAGGGAUGGGGAGCCUCUGGCCCAUGACCUACUUGCCAGGCUCCACUUGGGGCCCACAUGACCAUUUUCAGCCAUGCCCAACAUGGUAUCAGGUGUGGGGAAAUAAAAAGAUCUGGCUGAGCCAGAAGAGAGUUUGCAGACACAACCAAUGAGCUUGCUUGUUGGGCGCUGCACUUUGCAAGGAGUUUGGCAAGACCCUACAGCCUCCCCAAAGAAACCUCAAACCAUUCUAGACUUUUUUGGGGUCAAAUUCUUACAAAGUUUCCAAUCCUUAUCAAAAUAUUUCCCACUUAUAACCGAGGGAUUGAUUUCCACUACUUUGAAGUAUAUGCCCCCUGUGUGUAUUCUGUGACUUAGGAUAAUUAAUUGCUCCUAUGUUCUUAGUUGUCUUUGGAAGAAAGAAGCAUAAAUAAAGUUUUUCUUAGAGGCUAUUCAGCAAAUACAAUUUUUUUUUGUAUGAACUACAAAAGAAGAUGUUUCUCAAAAAUUCCUUCUUUGGAUUGGCUUUUAGUAGUGCAUUUUUUUUAGUCUCCUAAAGGGAAUUAUCUUGAUAGUUAGGAAUACAGGAAGGUACUUUAUUAACAUACAUUCAAAGCACAUGACCUUGCCCAAAGAAUAUUGGGAACUGUAGUUUGUUAAAGGUACUGGGAAUUGUAGCACUGUGAUUGGGUAAAAUGCAGUUCCCAGGAUUCUUUGGGGAAAGCUAUGUGUUUUAAAGGUGUGUCAAAUGUGCUUUGAUGCAUGUUGCAUAAUGUGACCAAUGUCUGGCCAUUUGUCCAUCUAGCUCAGGUUCUCCCUCCACAGGUUCUUUUUUUAAAGUCUGUUGAAACCUGGACGUAGGAAAGGAAAUGUCUCUAAACCAAUGAAUUACUGGUACCUGUUGAGUUCCCAAACCGAGCUUCAUUCAGGUGCUUCUGAAUGUCUGUGGAUUUGUGGCUGAAGAUAAGAGAUGACACAUCUAUCACAUUUCCUAUUCAUAUUGAUUUUUAAUUACAUUUGUAUUAUUUCUUUUAUAUUGUAUUGUAUUACAAUUUGAUUCUAUGGACUAAAGUAAGUGUGUAUGUAUCAUCCCCCUGGAAUGAAAGACUGUGGACCAGCCUUCUCUGAGUAUGUUAGGACUGGUUUACAUAGCCCCUUUAAAUGCUAAUUUUCCAAAUUCACUUGGGCUUGCCCAAAUGUUGCCAGUGGGCUCACAUCCUUACAAUUAGCUCACUUAAAGUGAUGCCGCUGGUGUGCUAAAGACACUUAAAAUUAGACCCAGAAGUUAGGCAGUUAAUCUGUAAAGCUCAAUAAAGUCCCUUGUUUCAUCCAAGGGUUGUCAGAAAAUUCGUUCCACAUCUGUACAGAGAAAAGGAGGGGGGAAGAGAGAGAGAGAAAAGAAAGAAGCGAGGUGUAAACUGCCAAGAACCAUUUUAAUGAUGGCUGGAGAAAAAAGGAGCCAGAUGGCAGGCUCUGCUGUGGCUGCGGUUGGUAUUUAACUGCUUUUUUAUUGGAAAAAUAUGGGGUGAAAAAUUGUGUGGGACUCAUUAGGCAGCCUGCUGCGAUUCUGAUCAGCUUGCCAAUCUGUUCUGCAUGGCAAAGAUCCAAACGUCCAUAAAUUUUGAGCAGCGGCUUAUAAUCUAUGGCUUGGAGCUUGUUAAAUCUUCUCUUGUUCCCCCCGCCUUUCCCCGUUUCGGUUCACUGCUUGAGCUUGCUUUCUUUCUUUCUUUCUUUCUUUCUUUCUUUCUUUCUUUCUUUCUUUCUUUCUUUCUUUCAAAGGAGCCUCAAGGCUCAAGCUGUGUUGCAGACACAAAAAAGCAGAGAUAGAUGGAAAGGACACAGAAGAUUCUGCUAUCACGUUCCACUGCUGCUUCCGCAGAUAAAACUUCCGUAACAUCUUAUAUAGUCCUAACGAAUCCAUUCUCCAAGCGUGGGUCCUUAUGCAGCCAGUGUGACACCAACCAGAUACCGGUAUAGGAGAGAGGAGGUAUCAGCAGGUUCAAUGAGAUCCGAAGUAUUCAGACAUACCCCCCCUCCUCCCCCCAAAAAACACCUUUAAGGAGGAAAACAUUCUCAAGUGGGAUAUGCCAUAACAGCCCAAUCAAGACUAGGACAUGCUUAAUGGGUAUGCAACACAGAUUUACUAUAGAGGGAGCAAUGAAAUGCAGAAGAAGGGGAAGGGCUGCAUCUAAGACUAGUGCAUCUGCUUGGCAUGCAGAAGGCCCCACAUUCAGUCCCCAGCAUCUCCAGGUAAGCCAGGGAGAUAAUUCCACCUGAAAUGCUGGCAAGCCACUACCAGUCAGUAGAACAUACUGCGCCAAAUGGACCAGUGGUCUGACUUGGUAUAACACAGCUUCCUUAUAUCGUAUGUCUCUGUCCUGGAAAAGGAUAUGGUUGGCUUGCUGGAAACCUGAACACUCCCCACUGCAACAUUUUGUUGUAGGUCCCACUUGUAGGUGUGAUAUUUCUCAAUGUCUGCAUCUUGAAAAGCCAGUUCCUACUUUAGGCUUUUGCAUUGCCAGGAUGACUUUUGUUUCCCAUGCUUAUCCACACAUAAAACUCUCAUUUGCUAGAAUGGGUCAUGGCCUCAAUUUGUUAAAAGAUGAUCCUUCCGUGAGACGGAGGCUGGAUUGCCAUGAUCUAGCUUGCAAGAUGGUUUUUGGAAGCAGCAGAUUGAAUGGAUGACACAUUCCCAUUGAAUGUGUUCACAUGUCUACUCCUGUGGGAAUCCCUCCAGGAGCUGUCACAGAGAUGCAAAAUGUUACAUCAGAAAUGGCCUCAGAAUGGAAUAAGUAGCAUCUGAAAAGUGCCUCUUUUGCUCUGGCACAUUGCAAAACUCAUCUCCCCAUCCUCACUUUUCAUCUUCAGAAAGAGACAGAGCUCAGAUUGUAAGACAAAAUGGUUGUUUUGAAAGGGUUCUGGCUCUGCUCUGUUUACCUCCCCCCCCCCCAAAUGAAACAAUCCCAAAGUGAAAGAGAUGCAAAUUUUAGAAUAUCAUAGCUGGAAGCAAAGUGUUAUGAUCACAGAGUGACUGUUGCUCAGGGGAGCCAGCAAACUGCUAGCAGAGUUUUAAUUUUCCAUCCUAAUCGUGUCUGGAUUGUGAAGGAUCCUAAGAGGAAACAUAAAGCUUCCUUUCUCUUAAUAUUUGCAUAUUAAAGAAAUCAGUUUCAGACAGGGGUACGGGGAGGGGGGCAGGGGGGUAAGAGGGAUUUCAAGAAGCCAUUGAGACAUGUUUCCAAGUAACGCAGACAGAGAACUACUGAGCUGCAACUUCACAGACACACUCCCCACAUGUACUUUAAAAAGAGGGGGGGGGGGUGGAAUGGAAAAUAUGCUGUCCACAUUUUUGUCCUGAAUGGAUACACAUUGGUUUUGAAAACUUUAUGGAAACCAGAGGCCAGCUCUUUAAAACAAUGCAGUUACUCACAUAUGCACUGCCUGAAAAUGCCUUGUCGUUUCUCUUCAAUGAUUAGAAAUUGCGAACUGCCGAGAGUUCAGUCUUUAUAGCAUUAGGUUUUACAGUCAUGAUUUACAAUCUACAUACUUGGAAGUAAUACGUAGUAUAUUCUACUUACAGUACAGCUAUUUCUGUUUUACAGAUGACUUACCCACCUACCUCCUCCAAAAAAAAAAUGUUCUGACCUACAUAAACAUUUGGCCAGCCCUGCCCAACUGCAUGUAAAAAAAAAAAAGUUAUUCGCCUAAAAGGAAUGGUUACCAUCAGUGGGUAAUUUGUUAACAAAACAGCUGAACUGUCCUAGGCAUGCACACACACUAAACAAAGGCUGAGCCAAAUUUAGCAUGGGAAUGAACUUCUUUUCUUUACUUUUCUUUUUUGCUAAAAUUUCCAUCCCAUUUGAAACAAACCCACUCAUUUUGGUGAUAUUUCAUUGCAGGGACUGCAAAAUGUGACAAAAAAUGUUCAUUCAGAGUGAGGGUAUAAUUUAUUGCUACUACUCUGAUUUGUCCUUGUGAUGUCAUCAGAUAGUUAAAUCUGAUUGGCUAUGGAGUGCCACAGCGUCAUCACACUUGCCAUGUGAUUAGAGGUACAUAUAUACACAGAGAGACAUAGUAUUUUCAGAAGACUGUAAGUAAAGUACAAUCAGCACACUAAUCCUAAAAAAUUUGCUUGGAAGUAUGCCUCAGAAGUGGAAUUUCUCUCUAAUAAAUAAUGUUCAUAGCUGCACAGCCUAAUCUAGGGCACCGUUGUUUAGAUUAAAAUAACCAACAGACAGCUAGCUUGGAUGUUGAGAAUGUUGUAAGGAUGGUUCAUUCAUCCUCACACUGGCCUGGAUUGUGGGACAAUGUCCAAUACCCAGAUCUGGGGUUCCUAUGCUUAGUACUGCUACCGCCUCUGCUGUCUCCUUUUCAUGUCCAAGUCGCUGCUGGUAGUCUGACUUGUUGCAAGAUGCAGGGAAGGAAUCAAAAGAUGUCCCAGAUGGUUUGUGUGGAUUGUUUCAGUGGAACAGCAGCAUAUUUUGGGAAACUUCCAAUGGAAAUGGUUUUAUAAGCAUUCCUAAUAUUAAGUGAAUGACAAACCUAGACAGCAUCUUAAAAAGCAGAGACAUCACCUUGCCAACAAAGGUCCAUAUAGUUAAAGCUAUGGUUUUCCCAGUAGUGAUGUAUGGAAGUGAGAGCUGGACCAUAAGGAAGGCUGAUUGCUGAAGAAUGGAUGCUUUUGAAUUAUGGUGCUGGAGGAGACUCAAGAGUCCCAUGGACUGCAAGGAGAUCAAACCUAUCCAUUCUGAAGGAAAUCAGCCCCGAGUGCUCACUGGAAGGACAGAUCCUGAAGCUGAGGCUCCAAUACUUUGGCCAUCUCAUGAGAAGAGAAGACUCCCUGGAAAAGAACUUGAUGUUGGGAAAGAUGGAGGGCACAAGGAGAAGGGGACGAGGUGGUUGGACAGUGUUCUCGAAGCUACCAACAUGAGUUUGACCAAACUGUGGGAGGCAGUGGAAGACAGGAGUGCCUGGCGUGCUAUGGUCCAUGGGGUCACGAAGAGUCGGACACGACUAAACCACUAAACAACAACAACAACAAUAUUAAGUGAAAGUUGGAGCAGCCACCAGUGCUCCAAAAGGAACUAGUGUCAAAGGUUAGGAAUCACAGGCCAAUGUGACUUCUUGAUGGGCCCUAAGCAGCCUGUUCUUAUUCAAGAAAGGCAUCUUUAUGUUUUGAGGGAAAGGCUAAAUGAGCUGUGCCACGGCUGCGCGAGCCAAACAUGGAGAGAGCUGUAUUAUUCCAUGAAAAGUCUGGGUAUUUUCUGUGCUCUCCCAGUAGGAAUUACUGUCUAAGGAAUCAUCUACCUUUUCAAGGAAACUGCCUAUUUUCUUGUCAGAAUAAUAAAUAAUUUCAUGUAGGAAUACUGUGUAAAUGCACACUGCCAUCUCUGUUUUACCCUUCCCAGAAGGAUAAAAUGUGGACACACACCUUACCUCUUUUUUUUUUAAAAAAAAAGGAUAGAGGAAUUUGAAUCCUGAGCCACCUAGCCUUUUUUUAAAAACAAAAACAAAUCCUGCCUCUGUCUUUCCAUCUUGGCCAGAGACAACCAAUCCCUCCCCACUUUAAUCAUGUGGGCCUGGAUUUUCUCCACUUGGUGUGUGCAUGCGUGCACAGUUUUAAUGGAACACACCACAGCCCAACCCCACUCCUGCCCUUUGGCACACUCUGCAUUCUUUACAAGUAACAGUGGGACUGUAAACUUUCCCUCCCUCCCGCUUUCCUUUUAUAACUCGCCUUUCGUGUGUAUAGCCAUGAAAACAGCCUUAGCACGGCCUGUCUAGGAAUGAGUUCCGUGAAAACUCUUGGCCGUUCACCAGGAAAGUGUUAGCAUGGCACGCCUGUCACUCAAAAGCAAGCCUGAGCUGAGUAGUGCAGGACAGCUGCCAAGCCCAACUCAGGGUUUUUAAGAGGGGGAACGAAGAAGCCAGAAGCUGGGGUUGUUCUAACUUGUUGGACUUGCUAUGCAGGUGGGAAAGUGGGGGUGGAGAGGCAGGGAAGCAUUCCAGGUCUUCAAACUGACUUGGCCAGUAGCAAAUUGGCUUCUAUUUCAUGCACCAAGACUUCCCACACCACCACCUUCCUCCCUUUAUAUGUAUACUGUAUAGGGAGGCAUUAUCGUCCCAUUUGCCCUAGCAGUGGGAAGUUCAAAGGCAGCCUGUCGAAGGCUAAAAUGCACAUCACAGUAGCACCCCAUUUCUUUGAAAGUGGCUCACAGCUGAAGAGUUAUAAAGCAGUAGGGCGGGGACAAUUUCAGACCGAAUAGCACAGAUGCAGACCCUCCAAGUGUCCCUAUUUUCCAGGGAUGUCCUUGAUUUAGAGAAGCCGUCCUGGUUUCUGAUUUGAUCCUGGAAUGUCCCACUUUUCCUUAGGAUGCCCCUAUUUUCAUUGGAGAAAUGUUGUAGGGUAUGGAGUUAUCCAACCCCUGAACCGUCUGAAGGCAAUCCUGUAUAGGGAAGUUUAUUUUUUAAUGUUUAAUGUUCAGUUAUUUAUUUAUUUUAAUGUUGGCAGCUUCCCAGAGCGGCUGGGGAAACCUAGUAAGAUGUAUGGGGUAUAAAUAGUAAAAUUAUCAUUAUGGAAUGGGACGUCCCUAUUUUCAUCGGAGAAAUGUUGGAAGGUAUGCAGACGGGUGGGAUGCUAAAUGCUUCUGCUGACCGCUCCCCAGGCUGGUUGCCAUCAUCUUCCUCUUCCAGGCUCAAUACAUGUUUGCAAGUUUUCCACAGGAUUCUGGUUGACCACUGUGAGAGCAGAACGUUGAAAUAGAUUAAUCUCUUCCUCUUCCUCCUCCUCCUCCUCCUCCCCAGCACCAAGAUUCAAAUAACCAGAAGAAAAACAAUAUGUAGGGAAAGGGUGUGGAGGAAGAAAGCAGGCAGGGGGAAGUUCAGCGGACAUCUUUUACAUCAAGCCCUGGAUCUCUUACCUUCACCACCGCCAGAGAAAAAGCUUACACAGUUGUUUUCCCUCUAAAACUUCUUCAGUUUGCAUCUAUACAUAUAAAUCAGUGCAGGGGUCAACAGCAUACAAAGGCAGGAAUGCCAGCUUGGGCCCGCGACCGUGGGUGCCCAGGGCCGUGGGUGCCAUGCAGCGUGCAUGGCUCUGACUCCAAAAUUUGUGAGUUCCUGGCCCCUUCAUGGGGAAUUCUUUGGGUGCUCAGGCACCCAGGAUUCCAGGGAGUUGGCACCUAGGCACAGAUCCCUUCCCUUGCACCAACAAGCUCCCCUCCCUCUGCUGGCAUUAGGCCUGAAGGAAGCAUUCUGUUGUAGCUCAUUGGCCCCAAAAAGAUUGCGUAGCCAGAUUUGUGCUAUGAACAUUUUCUUUUUCUUUUAAGACAUAGCAGUGCCCCUUGAUCAGGAGCCAGCUCCCUCUACAUGGUUUCUAACAGUUAAAUAUCUGAUGGAGUGGGGGGGGGACUUGUUUCUUCUGUGCAUACAAAUAAAUAAAUGCACACCCAUGAACACAAAGGCGCUGUGUGCCGCUUGCCAUGUCACAUAUUGCAAAUGUUGAGGUAUAUUUUGAACGGUGAUAGCAUAUUAUCAGGCCAUUAUGUUUAUCUUUAGUCAGAAUAACAAACAGUGCCUUGGCUUUUAAAUCAGUGGGAGAUGGGCUAUAAAUACAGCAAAUACAAGAGGCAGCAUAGCCUUCAGUAAUGCAUAAUAAGCAGGGGCUCUGACAAUGAUCUUUGGUAGGAGAAUAGUGAUAUUACAGAUAUGUCCCUAUUUUCAACUGUGAAGUGAUGGAAGGUAUGAAAUGCUGCAAAAUGCAUAAAUUAUUCAAAUUAAGCCAAUUUCCAUGCAAUUUAUUAUUUUGCACAAAUUACAAUAAGACAAUGUGUGUAAUGCACUCCAGAGGAUUGUUAAUAGUAGUAGCAGUAGUAGUAUUUAUUAUGUCCCUCUCUUAUACUCCCCGUUGUAUUCUGAGGUGCUCUAUAUAAGAGAGAGCAAAGAAACCUGCUCUCAGCUGUGCAUGUAAGGCAGAUCUUUUCUGUGGCAAGCCUUUUUGGAUCUUUGGGCCAUCUCUUAAGACAGGCAUCCCCAAACUUCGGCCCUCCAGAUGUUUUGGACUACAGUUCCCAUCAUCCCUGACCACUGGUCCUCUUAGCUAGGGAUCAUGGGAGUUAUAGGCCAAAACAUCUGGAGGGCCACAGUUUGGGGAUGCCUGUCUUAAGACAAGAGGAUCCAGCAUUAAGCAACUUACUCUGCCACAAAUAAUAAUCUUCUAGAAAGGCCAGUGCUGGCAAAAGAACAGAGGAUGGAGGGGGUGCGGUUUGAUUUGUGAAAGCAAUAAAGAGGAUAUCUUUGGAAAAUAGGAAGCUGCCACAUACUGAGUCAGUAAAAAAAAGACAAAGGAGAUUCCGACUAAACAUUCAGAAAAACUUUCUGACAGUAAGAGCUGUCCAGCAGUGGAACAGACUCCCACAAGAGGUGGUGGACUCUCCUUCCUUAGAGGUUUUUAAACAGAGGUUGGAAGGCCAUCUGUUAUGGAUGCUUUAGAUGAGAUUCCUGCAUUGCAGGGGGUUGGACUAGAUGACCAUUGGUGUCCCUUCCAACUAUGAUUCUAUGAUCAUUUGGAGAACUGUGUUAUUGUUUACAUGUGCUGUAUUGUUUGGGAAAGUGCAAUGUUGCUCACAUAGCAGUCUGUCUACAUGUUUAUAUUAAUAUAAUUCUUAACUCCGGUGACUUUCUUGCAACUUGAAGUCAUUUGUUCAAGUCCUACCCUCUAGAGCAAGAGAAAACAAGCAUGCUCCCUCCUCUGUGUGACAGCCUUUAAGAUAUUUGAAGUUAGCUAUCACAUCCCCUCUCAGUCUCGUCUUUUCCAGGCUAAACAUACCCAGCUCCUUCAAGCUCCUCAUAAGGCUUAGUUUCCAGACCCUUGAUCAUCUUGGUUACCCUCCUCUGCACAUACCUGCCAAGUCUCCCGCUGAAAAAUGUGGGAUGAGCAGCGGCGCGGCACUGGAAGUUGCGUAGAAGUAACUUCCGGUGCCGCUCUGACCAUGUGUGGGCACCGGAAAUAGGGCAGAGCGGCACCGGAAGUCACUUCUACGCAUGCCCAGCGGCUAUCUUGGUGGUGGCCACAUGGCAGCGGCCAUCUUGGCUAAGUGCAGAACCUUACAUUUGUCCCUAUUGAAAUUCAUUCAUUUCUCCAAUCUGUUAAGGUCAUUUUGAAGUCCCCCAUGAUUACUAUUUCUCUCCUUUUUGAAUAUUUGGUAAUCUACUCUACUCUAGUAGGCAUCAUCCAGUCUUCAGUCUGACUUGGUGGUCUAUAGCAGACAGCUACAGUAAGGUCACCAUUGUUUCUCUCUCCUACAAUUUUUACCCAUUUACUCUCAAUCUGCUUUUCAUGGAUUUCUUUACAAGUAUACAAAUCCUUUAUAUAUAAUGCUACUCCUUCUCCCUUCCUAUUUCAUCUCUUCCUUUUGCACAGGUUAUACCCCUCAAUUCCUACAUUCCAGUCAUGAGCCUCAUCUUACCAGGUUUCUGUAAUGCCUACCAGAUCGUAUUUGCCAUCCUGUAUUAAAAGCUCCAGUUCAUCUUUUUUGUUUCCCAUACUCUGUGCAUUUGUGUAGAGACAACUGAAACCACGAUGCAGGAUUGAAACUCAUUCUAUACCUCUUCAACAACUGGAUAAUGUUACUGCCUCAAAUUUUCUUAAUGGAUUUUUCUUCCUUUCAAAGGAAUAUCAUUGCUGAGAGCCCUGCCGAAUUCUAUUACAUGCUUCUGUGCAUCUCAGUGCAACCAAGAAGGUUGCAACUCCAAGCACUGUGGUCCAGAAAUGAAGACUUUUCAUUCAUCAAGCAGCAGUUGAAUAUAUAAAAAGCUGCUGAGUCGGACCUUGGAUCCAUCGAGCUCGGUAUCGGCUGGCAGCAGCUCGCCAGGGUUUUGAGCAGGGAUCUCUCCCAGUUGGGGAUUGAUUGAGCUACAGCCUGAUUGCAGAGAAAUGCAGCUCUCUGCUAACAUUUCUACUACUACCGUACAUAAGUACAAAUGUGAUUCCAGCAUCUUCCUCCUUCCUAAAAUCAGUUUAAAAUUUUCUCGUCCCUCUUAUAUUUCUUCUGCCUAUUUUUUUGUCAUUCUCCCACCUACCCACCCACCCAUCACAAUACCAACCCUUCCUUAAAUUCAUAUUCGUCCUGGUAAAGGAAAUGGUACAUGCAUGUCUAUGUGGCAAAGUAACAGGGAUAUGGGAGGCAGGGGUAGGGAGAGGGAGAGGGAGAGGGAGAGAGAGAGAGAGAGAGACGCAGCAUGUUGUGUCAUUAAAAAGUGCCAUGUAUUACCCGGCAGCCACCCCAUCUGCUUUCCAUGGGCAUCCCAGGAGAACUUGGCGAUUAUGAAGGAAUUCUCGGAGGCCAUUACUGGGAAGAGGAAAAAAGGCUUGCUGCAGACAGCUUAAUGGACUAAUUUGUAACUGCGAGAGCAGGAGAAAUGAGUUGUUGGCCGUGUUUUAAUUUGACAGCAAGUGGCAGAACGAAUGCUAAAUGUGAUGAGUGAGCAGGCGCGUUUGUUUCCCCACUGCACUUUGCUCAGGCCUCUUGGCUCUCCCAAGGGGCCUGUCACUAUUAUUUUUCCCUUCUGCACUGACUUGAAGAGGAUGGGGGAGGGCAAAGGAGGCAGAAUGUGAUCAAGCAGACAGGGCUCAGGGUAUAAUUUCCUACGGAUGUUAUACAACGAAGAGAGAUUAAAUGUCUAAGACUUUGAUGCAUGGGCACAUAUUGUGUUUAGAGCGCCGGGCACCUAUAGUUAGACCAGAAUGCUCUCCCUAAUUUGCAGGGAUUAGCGUGACACUGGCAUGGGGUAUAAACUGCGCUUGGUUGGGUCCUCACUUUGGGGGUGCUGGACUGCCCCAAAGAAAAGUGCCCUUGUCUUCUCGGAACAGAGGAAGCUGCUUUAUACUUGUCCAUUGGUCCAUUAAGCUCAGUGUCAUCUACACUGAUUGGCAGUGUCUCUCCAGGGUUUGAGGCAAGGCUCUCUCCCAAGCCCUAUCCAGGAAUUGAACACUCCGCCACUGUGCUAAGUCCUCUCCCUAAAUCAGUGGUGUCCAAACUUUUUUUCAAAGAGGGCCAGAUUUGAUGGAAGUGAAGGGCCAUGAGGGCUGACCAACCAAAAGUUGUCAACCUUUUUUUAGGGUUGAAUUUGUUGAUUUUACCCCAGGAAAUAAACUGCCACAGGGGCUGGAUUAAACUGACCGGUGGGCUGGAUUAGGCCCCCAAAACGGACUUUGGACAUGCCUGCCCUAAAUGAAAGUAGGUUUUCCUAUUGCAGCUUUUUAGUAGUGAUGUGUGGGUGUAUUUAGGAAUAUCAAAAGCUGCCUUCUACUGACUCAGACUAUUAAUCCAGAUCAGUAUUUUCUACACAAGUGGCCACAGGGGACAUUCCCGUCACUACCUGGAGAUGCUUGGGAUUGAAUCUGAGACCUUCUGCAUGUGAAGUAAAUUGUCUACCAGGACAAUUUUUGCCAGGACAAACAUUAUUGUUGCAAGUGGGACC